GCGGCUGUAGCUCAGUUGGUUAGAGCACCAGGUUGUGAUCCUGGGGGUCACGGGUUCGAAUCCCGCCAGCCGCC
rnacentral:tRNA from 3 species